ensembl:lncRNA
UAGUAAUGAGACUAUAUACAGGGGGUACAGGUUAGUAAUGAGACUAUAUACAGGGGGUACCGGUACCGAGUCAAUGUGUGGGGUUACAGGUUAGUAAUGAGACUAUAUACAGGGGGUACCGGUACCGAGUCAAUGUGCGGGGCUACAGGUUAGUAAUGAGGCUAUAUACAGGGGUACAGGUUAGUAAUGAGGCUAUAUACAGGGGGUACCGGUUAGUAAUGAGACUAUAUACAGGGGUACAGGUUAGUAAUGAGACUAUAUACAGGGGGUACCGGUACCGAGUCAGUGUGCAGGGCUAUAGGUUAGUAAUGAGACUAUAUACAGGGGUACAGGUUAGUAAUGAGACUAUAUACAGGGGGUACAGGUUAGUAAUGAGACUAUAUACAGGGGUACAGGUUAGUAAUGAGACUAUAUACAGGGGGUACAGGUUAGUAAUGAGACUAUAUACAGGGGGUACAGGUUAGUAAUGAGGCUAUAUACAGGGGGUACAGGUUAGUAAUGAGGUUAUAUACAGGGGGUACAGGUUAGUAAUGAGACUAUAUACACGGGGU